AAAUGCAGUUCCAACGUGUGCAAAAGAACUUAUAAGCUCUGUAUUUUCCAUAUUAUAUUUUACACAAAUAAAUAAUUUUAAUGCAUAUUUUAAAGCAUAUUUUGGAUCUCAAAAUAAAUGUUUUUACUUUUCAGGAAGGUGGCAUGAUACCAUUUGAGGUUCAGUGCAUGGCAUCAGAUGGAAUAUCCCUGAUGUACAGCACCAUCUAGCGGCUGAAGUGAGCAUCACUCUCUGAUGAGAGAGAGAGAGAGAGAGAGAGAGUCUGUCAGAAGGGGGAGAAACCGAGCAGCUUGAGCGCUUCACUAUGGACCAGUACGGCUGGUGCGCUCUCUGACCGAUCGCCUUCACCUUAUUUUGCCUGGAAAACUCUCCAAACACACAGGUUAUGCCACCCCACAGGCUGACUGGAAACCCAGCCGUGAAAGAGAAGGGCUGAUUACAGACCCCUAGUGUACCCGCAGCUGCGCCCGUCCCUGUCCCCAUGGCGACAGGAGGUCAUGCCCCCGAGACAGAUGUGUUGAUCAACCUGCAUCAGGUUUUGACAGAGGAAGAGAAGGACUCCACAGCAGGACAGGAAGAUGAGGAAUGGGAGAAGGCCUUGUCUGUGGAGAGGUUCGGGGACAUCAUUACUGAGUCUGCCGUCAAUGGCGCAGACAAAAUGGGCCGCAGUUACAAUGAGAAAGAUUUUGAGUAUCACCGGCACACCUUCCACCAUACCCACCACCCCCUGUCCACACAUCUUCCACCGCAGCGUUUCCGAAAAAGGGUGCUCAGUAUGGACCGCCGGCGGAAGAGAAAGAGGAAGAAAAAGAAGACGUCUAUGCCUCCGUCAGAUGUCACACCCACUAUUCAUGAAGUGGAUGAGGAGGAGGCGGAGUCUGAAAUCGAGGGGCAGUGUCAAGCAGCCACACCUACUGAGCCAUCUGAAGAGCUGCCACAGCUCAGUUUGGGAAGUGAGGAGGAUCUGGCGGCUGAUCUCCCUCUCAGCAGCUUCCAUAUGGAGAGUGAGAGACCCGCGAGCAGCGAGGAGACGCUACCCAGCCCUGCUAGCAUGGAGGAGAAGGAGGAAACACAACAACCACCCGAUGGAGGAGAGCACAAAGACAUCUCCAACAGCUUUAGCCCAUCUCCAGAAGCUGCCAGUAUGACAACACGCGGCUGGUUUCGCAGGAAGCCUGUCCACCGUCUGGCUGGAGCCCAGAGGACCAGCUAUGACCUCCGCGAACGCAUCUGCAUAGGCAGCAUGACUGCAAUGGAGACUGCGGUCUACCAGAAAGUACCUACAGACGAGGCGGAGGCGCAGAUGCUCGCCAGCGCUGACCUCGAUGACAUGAAAAGUGCAGUAUGUAAGGCCUCCUUUCCACUGCAAACGACAAGCAACAGACCGGAAGUCAUUCAUUUCCAAUAGAGAGAAGUCCGGGAGCUGCAUGGAGUUCCGAUCAUCUUUGUAUGCAGAAAAUUCGGAUCCGGAUUGAGCUUCGGAUCCUUUGAAAUAUUUGAACUCCUGCGACUAGACUGUAUGCGAUCGGCUGACAGGAUGUGAUGUAUUGCAGUGUUGUCUAACCAGGUCCUUGUGCGAAAGAUGAGAAAUAAUACUUUUUUGGUUAUUUUUUAAUCAAAAAAAGUCUAUAUAAAAAAAAAACAUUUCUAUUCAUAAAUGUAUGUAAUAAAGUAAUAAAAAUAUAUAUUUUAUGUUGCCUCCAAUAUUUUUUAGUGGUCUAUGAGUUUCUAGUAUUCAUUCAUUCAUUCAAUCAUGGUGAACGCACAGAUAAUACUGGCUCUUGCUUUUGGACUUCUUUAUUUCGGACACUGCGAGAACAUCUUCUCUCUCAUGGUGCACACCAGAACUGAAAAUUCUGUGCGACUGCCACAAGGGGGCGUAUAUUCCGACAGUCGUGUCCAAAUGUCGUGUGGAGUGGAAAGACGGCUUAAGAUUGAGACACAUUGGUUGAACUAGGUAUGGCACUUCUGGAUCAUAACACAUUUUCACUCGGCUCCUCUUCUAAAGAGUCCAGAUUGCCAGAUUGACGUGAGUGUGCCUGACUGUAGAGCCUAAAGGCAAUUUUAAGGCUCAUUUUUCUAUAUAAAACCACGGGCACGCAAUAAAAGAAGUUUAUUCCAUACUAAAAGGAGUUUUUAUCCUAACCAACACCUGAACUUUAUAUUUUCGAAAUGGCUUCUAUUUCUCACAGUUGAACAACAAUCCCCUUAGGUACACCUCAUGUGCUUUAUUCAGUGUUAACUGCUAAUAAUGUGAGUUUGAUUUUUACAUUUAUUGCCAUACUAUUGAAAGCAGCAGCAGAUAGUUCAUCUCAGAUUUUGAAAAUAGGAUAAACCAUUUAAAAUUGAACUUUAGAACUGUGACUUAAUGCAAGCCGACACAUAUCAGUGAUUCAGCAUCUACAUUUAAUAAUGCUAAAGAGGUUUAAUAUGUAAUAAUUAGAUUAUAAACCUUGCCAUUUUGUUGGAGUGCAGCAAGUGCACUAUUCUGUUCUGUUCUGUUAAUAAUAUUUGAAUAUUAUUUGUGCUCCAUUAUAUUGCAGUCUGGUUAACAAAGAA
ensembl:lincRNA